AUCCACUGUUCACACGGACAGAGUCUCCCCUGUAUUUGCACGGCGUUGCACAAGUACAACAGAGUAUAAAUACAAUCACAACCACAACCAGAUGAACGACAAGAUAGAUAACAUUCAUCCAUUCCAUUCGCGCACACAGAUAUGAUACUUAAGUUAUGAAUAACAUUCCACAUCUAUCAAUUAAAAUGUUUCCUACCCGGAAACUGAUUUUGAAAUACUAAAUCCAUAAAACCACAGAAAAUCAAUUUGAAAACUGUUCCCUACACAGGAACCUUUAUCUUUUUAAAACGCUACCACGAGGGGUAGAAAACUAUUUUUAUUUCAAGAAAACACCAAUCCUUUAGCACAUUCCAAAACCAAUUGAAAACCCAGAUAUUCAGAUAAUAAAAUAAAACUGAACCAUAAUAUGUCUAAUUUAUUUAUUCAGGCAUGAAGGGUAAAAGAAAUAACCGACACGGGACGGAGCUCUAUCGCACGCUAGACACGCUCCUCACCAGCUGUCCCACUCGAACCUGCUACGUCACCUGUAAUGGGGGCGGGGGGUUAGAACAUGUAAACAUGUCUCCCCUCCCAGUAGGUACCGCAAGCCGGAGAGGGCGAGGGGUACUCACUAGUCACGGAGAACUAGAUAGGUAUAAGUGCUGGUAAGUAAAGAUACUGAUAAGUAGGGAGCUGACAAGUAUAGAUGCAGGUAAAUAAAACAGUAGCUACAAUAAACAGAUAAGGAUGUACUGAA
rnacentral:lncRNA from 1 species